UUGUCCUCAGCUUACUUGCAGAUAUGAUGAUCAUUUCGUGGAUCGACUGGGGUCCUUUAUUAUUGGCUUUGUUGGUCUUGGCCGUCUUACUGGCCAACUGGAUAUGGCGCGUUGUUCCCGCUUUUAACGACUCAUCAUCAACCUCUUCUGUACUAGGCAAUCUCCUCCACCUGAUAAAAUAUUCUCUUGAAGUAUGAGCACAUUUACCGGAUACGGAUCACUUACUACCCUGUCGUUUUCAUGGCUCACUUUGAGCUGCUCAAGUCCAUUUUAUCAAACCCAAUGCUGAUCAGCAAACCACACGUAUUUCUUUCACCGUGAUGAAAGCCUUGUCCUCUUUAAAGAUGAGAAAUAGAGAAUUCGCCACCGUAUGCUGGCACCAGCGUUCCAUUUUAAUAAGGUUCUUAACGGCUUCGUAGAUGCGUUCAAUGACAUGAGCAACGCAUGUGCUUUGAAAAUUGAAGGCAUCAUUCAAAAUUCAAGGCAUAAUUCAAAACAAAGAGUUGGACGUCGUUCCGAUUUCGUAUAAAUUGAUUUUUGAUAUUCUCUGCGGUAAUAAACCCCGGUUUGUUGUUGUUUGUUGUUUUGUUUGUUGUUUAAAAUAAAAUUUUAAAAAACUUAA